rnacentral:rRNA from 1 species
GCUUGCUGCUUUGCUGACGAGUGGCGGACGGGUGAGUAAUGUCUGGGAAACUGCCUGAUGGAGGGGGAUAACUACUGGAAACGGUAGCUAAUACCGCAUAACGUCGCAAGACCAAAGAGGGGGACCUUCGGGCCUCUUGCCAUCGGAUGUGCCCAGAUGGGAUUAGCUAGUAGGUGGGGUAACGGCUCACCUAGGCGACGAUCCCUAGCUGGUCUGAGAGGAUGACCAGCCACACUGGAACUGAGACACGGUCCAGACUCCUACGGGAGGCAGCAGUGGGGAAUAUUGCACAAUGGGCGCAAGCCUGAUGCAGCCAUGCCGCGUGUAUGAAGAAGGCCUUUGGGUUGUAAAGUACUUUCAGCGGGGAGGAAGGCGAUAAGGUUAAUAACCUUGUCGAUUGACGUUACCCGCAGAAGAAGCACCGGCUAACUCCGUGCCAGCAGCCGCGGUAAUACGGAGGGUGCAAGCGUUAAUCGGAAUUACUGGGCGUAAAGCGCACGCAGGCGGUCUGUCAAGUCGGAUGUGAAAUCCCCGGGCUCAACCUGGGAACUGCAUUCGAAACUGGCAGGCUAGAGUCUUGUAGAGGGGGGUAGAAUUCCAGGUGUAGCGGUGAAAUGCGUAGAGAUCUGGAGGAAUACCGGUGGCGAAGGCGGCCCCCUGGACAAAGACUGACGCUCAGGUGCGAAAGC